rnacentral:lncRNA from 1 species
AGUAAUAAGUUAAUUGAGAAAAAAUAAUUCCGGACUACAAAAUAAAACCAAAGGAAACUCAUUAACUAUAAGAGGAAAACAAAGGAUGACAACAAAACGUGAUAGAAAUAUAGCACAAACACAUGCAAUUUUAAUGUUUUCGUUUAUGAUUAUCGCUAGUUUGCUAACAACACAUCGUUCUUUGAAUUACUGAAUAUGAAAAUAAGAAGAUGUGGUUGGAUUGCCAAUGAAACAACUAUCCACCAAAAGAUCAACG